rnacentral:rRNA from 1 species
GUGGGGAAUCUUCCGCAAUGGGCGCAAGCCUGACGGAGCAAUGCCGCGUGAGUGAAGAAGGCCUUCGGGUUGUAAAACUCUGUCCUCAUCCAAGAGAAGGAAAGGUAGUAACUGGCCUUUCCAGGACGGUAGAUGAGGAGGAAGCCCCGGCUAACUAUGUGCCAGCAGCCGCGGUAAAACAUAGGGGGCAAGCGUUGUCCGGAAUCACUGGGCGUAAAGGGCGCGCAGGCGGUCUGUUAAGUCAGAUGUGAAAGGUUAGGGCUCAACCCUGAACGUGCAUCUGAUACUGGCAGACUUGAGUAUGGAAGAGGUAAGUGGAAUUCCUAGUGUAGCGGUGAAAUGCGUAGAUAUUAGGAGGAACACCAGUGGCGAAGGCGACUUACUGGGCCAUAACUGACGCUGAGGCGCGAAAGCGUGGGGAGCAAACAGGA